GGCAUGAACAACAUAAUUAAAUUUCAAAUGCAUUUGACGUUCCAGAAAAUGAUACACUUUUCAAGACUUUGCUAUUCAUUUUUUUCCAUACCUGCAGAAGAUGCCAAACAAUCUAAGUUGGGAAAGAGGUUUGAUAAAUUUAAACUGUGUAACUGGGUGGACCAUAUCAAAUGAAACUCGUGUGUUUGUCUACUUUGUUAUCUUCUACAGAUUGGAAAAAAAUGCACAUUAAAAUCCAGGUAUUACAUAUAUUAAGUAUUUUGUUUUCUGAAAAAUUUACAUAUACAUAUAACAUCAAAACAAUGAAUUUUUAACCAGUAACCAGUGGCGGAUCCAGAACUUUUCAAAAGAGGGGGCCCGCUGACUGACCUAAGGGGGC
rnacentral:lncRNA from 1 species